GAAACUUCCGGCUUCCAAGGUGGUGAACCCAUACCUGUGAAGUGAGAAGGAACGCUAAGCAACUUCUGACAUGAACAAGCAGAAGUUACAGAGUUUAUGAAGCACUUACAUCAUGGAUGUCCCAUUUAUCAUGCACAGCAACCCUACAUCGUGUGGAAGCAGAUACCGUGGUUGAGUAAACCAGACCUCAAAGAGAGCCUCCUUCACACCGUACUGCAGCAGACAACUAGGCCCUAGCACUUGGUCUGACCAAUCCCAUUAUCCAAGAAUCAAAAUACAGCUGGUGUUGAAGAAAGAGUGAGCCUUGCACUGAAAAUUAGAGGGUUUCCUCAACUAUAAUGUAGGCCAGAAGGCUAAACAUUUUACUAAGUAAGAAACAAAUCCAAUACUGUUAUAACUGUUUCACCCCUACCAGUCUACCCAUAGAAGUCAGCAUUACCUUAAAUUCCCAGGGCAGGACAAAUGCAAAGGAAGGCUUGGCAUUUUAGCAAGUCUGCAGAUGUAAGGGAGUAGGUUAUCAAAAUUGAGUCCACAUUUCAUUAUGUUACAUAAAAAUAAAUUGGCUCCAAAUAACACAAAA